rnacentral:misc_RNA from 1 species
UGCAUUUACGAUUUCACGCUCGCCGAUUAUUCGAACAAAGAGAAGCAAGAGGAGGCGUGGAUGAACAUCUCAAAGGAAAUGGGCUCACCCGGUAUGACGAUCAAUAAAAUUCAGACCAAAACACUUCCCGACACCCUCUCCACAACCCACGGGCUAUUUUAAACUUCAUCCGCGGAUCAUUCGAAAAAGAAAGACGGACAAAAGUUGGUGAUUGCAAAGAGCGUUGGAGAAAUUUAAGAGGGGGCUUGACAAGGCACUUGAAACUUGAAUCUAAGAAAAAUAUCAGAAGA